UUGCUCCUACGGGACGCAGCAGUGGGGAAUAUUGCACAAUGGGGGAAACCCUGAUGCAGCAACGCCGCGUGAGUGAAGAAGUAUUUCGGUAUGUAAAGCUCUAUCAGCAGGGAAGAAGAAAGACGGUACCUGACUAAGAAGCCCCGGCUAACUACGUGCCAGCAGCCGCGGUAAUACGUAGGGGGCAAGCGUUAUCCGGAUUUACUGGGUGUAAAGGGCGCGUAGACGGCUGUGCAAGUCUGAAGUGAAAGCCCGU
rnacentral:rRNA from 1 species